rnacentral:ncRNA from 2 species
AUCGAACUUCGGGGCGGGGCGAAAUUCCCCACCGGCGGUGACUUUGAAAGUGAUGAGCUUUCAAACAGCCCGCGAGCGCUUGAAACCCUAUUAAUGGGCUUUUAAGGUCAGCAGAUCUGGUGUGAUUCCAGAGCCGACGGUUACAGUCCGGAUGAUAGAAGAUCGAC